rnacentral:rRNA from 1 species
UACGAAGGGGGCUAGCGUUGUUCGGAAUCACUGGGCGUAAAGGGCGCGUAGGCGGCUUUAUAAGUCGGGGGUGAAAGCCUGUGGCUCAACUGAGGAAGUGCACCCGAAACUGGCGAGCUUGAGUACGAAAGAGGAUCGCGGAAUUCCCGGUGUAGAGGUGAAAUUCGUAGAUAUCGGGAGGAACACCGGUGGCGAAGGCGGCGAUCUGGGUCGAUACUGACGCUGAGGUGCGAAAGCGUGGGGAGCAAACAGG